CUGGUACUCCCUCCGUUCCGAAUUACUUGUUUUAGACUUGUCUAGAUACGGAUGUAUCUAGUCUAGAUACAUCCGUAUCUAGACAAGUCUAAGACAAGUAAUUCAGAACGGAGGGAGUACCUC
rfam:Triticum aestivum genome assembly, contig: Triticum_aestivum_CS42_TGACv1_scaffold_320544_4BL